rnacentral:rRNA from 1 species
UACGUAGGGUGCGAGCGUUGUCCGGAAUUACUGGGCGUAAAGAGCUCGUAGGCGGUGUGUCGCGUCGGUCGUGAAAACUUGGGGCUUAACUCUGAGCUUGCGGUCGAUACGGGCAUCACUGGAGUUCGGCAGGGGAGACUGGAAUCCUGGUGUAGCGGUGAAAUGCGCAGAUAUCAGGAGGAACACCGGUGGCGAAGGCGGGUCUCUGGGCCGAUGACUGACGCUGAGGAGCGAAAGCGUGGGGAGCGAACAGG